rnacentral:rRNA from 1 species
UACGAAGGGGGCUAGCGUUGUUCGGAAUUACUGGGCGUAAAGCGCACGUAGGCGGAUUGUUAAGUGAGGGGUGAAAUCCCAGGGCUCAACCCUGGAACUGCCUUUCAUACUGGCAAUCUCGAGUCCGAGAGAGGUGAGUGGAAUUCCGAGUGUAGAGGUGAAAUUCGUAGAUAUUCGGAGGAACACCAGUGGCGAAGGCGGCUCACUGGCCCGAUACUGACGCUGAGGCACGAAAGCGUGGGGAGCAAACAGGG